UGCUCCUGCCUUCCGCUCCCUCCGCUACCGCCGAGGAGACUUUAUUAUUCACUCUGCGCGGUCCGCACGGAGACCGCAGUGCGCAGGCGCCGCCGCCGCCAUUACCGCCCCGGAAUUUAGCAGCUGCACACAAGGAAUUAUCAGCACCAUGUGAAAAGCCAGCUCUGUGGACCACUAGGAGUGGUUCCACACACCCUCAUUUGAAAAUCACUGGUUUAAGCCAAACAGACUGACUUUUUCUAGACCAAUUAGUCCUGGCAGUAUCCUGGUUUCCUCUGCUAGUUCUCUUCCAUGCUCCAGUUAGGAAAACCCAACACACACUCUGAAUGAAAGGCAACACAGAAAAGUUAGGUUUUACCUGAGGUAUAAGAGUUGAUAGCAUCUGCCAUGUGGAUCAUUGUUUCUGAGCAGAAUUUUCAGAAGCCUUCGUGAUCCAUUGUUAACUUUGAGUACUCAACAGCUGACCUUCCAGUGAUCUGCUGUACACUAUCCAUCCAUCUCCUCACUGGUUGUCCCUGACUACGAUGUCCCUCUCCUAUCCCUUUCAUAAUAACUUUCUCAAGUUUAUUUCCAUCUCUAUGCCUAACCUGACCAAAGUAUAUAAGCUUGUGUCAUGCUGGUGUCUGUUGAGCCACUAAUCCUGUGAGAGGAUGUGGUGCAUGCUAUUAUGAAAUUAAAGCUUGGGAAAGGACCAGAGGAGUGGUAGAUAACGUGCCCGAAGAACUGUUAAAAGCAAUUGGCGAAAGCAAUACUGAUUUUAUGUGGUAAAUUUGUGAUGAUAUAUGGAUGACUAGGAAUUGGCUGGACAACUGGAUGAAGAGAAUUUUUCUGACCUUGUCAGAAAAGGGAAAAAUAACAGAGGGUCGUAAUUAUCAUCUCAUCUCCUUGAUAGUGCACACAAGCAAAGUUCUGUUCUACAUAAUCCAGGAUUGCGUGAAAAGAAGUAUAGCAGCAGAACUACCACCACAAGCUGGUUUCAGAGAGUGCCGAUACACACCUGACCAAAUUGUAAAUAUCCAUCACAUCACUAAAAAAUGUAGAGAAUACAGUC